rnacentral:misc_RNA from 1 species
GAAAUGCGAUAAGUAGUGUGAAUUGCAGAAUUCAGUGAAUCAUCGAAUCUUUGAACGCACAUUGCGCCCUUUGGUAUUCCUUAGGGCAUGCCUGUUCGAGCGUCAUUUAAACCUUCAAGCCCUGCUUGGUGUUGGGUGCCUGUCCCGCCCCCGCGCGUGGACUCACCUCAAAUCCAUUGGCGGCCCCCGCAUGGCCACGAGCGCAGCAGAAACGCAAACUCGUGUGCCGGACCAGGCGGCUCCCAGAAGCUACACUCACCAUUUUGACCUCGGAUCAGGUAGGGAUACCCGCUGAACUUAAGCA